UGUUUUUUUCAAACUAGGAGGCUGGUUUUCACUACGGAUUGUUUUUUGAGAGCAGUGAACGACACGGAAAAAGAAGGGAGCCAAGAGGAGUGCAUCCAGCGUUCGUGGGCCGGCCCAAACUGCACGAUAACAUCUCAACAAAAGCCUAACUACCCCUCAAUAGAAAAUGCCUAACUAGGAAUCUAACCAUCAAACUCAUAUUUUUCUCUAAAAGAAGAAAAAGAAACUCUGUCUAAAAAAAUAACAAAAAAAAUCACACAUGGUUUGCUGAUUCUUUAAACUAGGAUGUUCAUGAAGCAAAACACUUGGAUGUUUGAUCAACAACAUUCAUUCCCCGAGACUUAAGAUACUUCGUUUAUUUAGUGUACACGAUUGGGCGAUAAUUUGUUUAGCGCAUUAUUUGUAGAAGUUGCCGACUUGUGGGCAAGGGUUCCGGGUUUACGGUUUAGUGACGACAAGUAGCUUAUACAACCUCCAUAGUUUUGUGAUUGUGUGUGUGUUUUGUUCUAUUUCUUUUCAUGAUGUUUUUUAAUGCAACGUGAAUCUGGGAGGUUCUUAUUAUGUUCAUUUUUGGAAUGCAAGGUUUUAUGUUCAUCUUUUGUUAGCACAGCAUGUUAUAACUAUGUGAAUCUGCGAGGUUCUUACUAUUGCGCUUCAAAAAGUUUUUUUGUUUUAGAAUAAAAUAGAACAACUAAAGAUGGGCUAAAAUGCCAAGAGAGAAAACACAGGACUACUUGGGCUUGGCCCAGUGCCCAGGCCACUCUCGUUCUCGCUCUCGUUGUGUGCUAGGGAAAAAAAAGGGUCACUCUCGCUCUUCGGCGCCUCCGCCGCAAAUCGGCACCGGCGGCAAGCACAAAAGGGUUGUGCGUCCUCAAGCAGCGCCGCCAGCCCCAAAAUGCCGCCUCCUGUCCAACGAGACGGUGGUGGUCGGGAUGCGGGCGCUCAUGGCGGUGGGUCCCCGUCGGCUCCGGCGCCUGGAGCGUCCCAAUGGUCGUGAAGAUGGCCGAUCUGUUCCCCUCCAGUUGCCCCUGCCAAUGUAUAGAAUAGGCAGGAUACUACACGCCAUUGGGUAGAAAUCAUUUAGGUGAUUAUCGGACUAAUGCUAAUUCGAUGAGUCAGGCUGGCCUACAACAGAGAUGCCUUUUGGCAACCAUGUGAACUGUUACAGUAUGAUGAAGGGAUUGAUGUAUUUCCAGAGGCAAGACAGUCUCAAGAAGGAAAAAUCAGAUACAGAUACCCAAUGGAUACAGAUAGCUCAGCUGUCCGCCUAUGCUAGUUCAAACUAUAAAAGUCACUGAUCUUUUUCCGGUUGAGCAUCAAUGGGGUCAUAUGUUAAUAUUGGUCAUAGCUUUCACAUCUGUGAGGAUGGUUCAUGAUGUCCACCAGACCACCACCAUGUUGAUAGUUCUCCACUCCUGCACCUGCACGCAUGGUGUGCAGUGAAGACAGCAAUUCAGUGGGUAAAGAUGGGAAUGACAUUAAAGUUAUUGUCCACAAUCAUCAGACGUGAGAUCGAUAAAAUAGCUAUUUCUCAAUGGCAACCAAACCCAAGGAAGAGAAAAUUGCUAGAUGCCCUCUCCGGUUCUUGUUGAAAACUUAACUAGAAAAUUGCUACUUUCUUUGUUGAAAACUUAGAAGGAAGUACUCCGUCAAAUUUUGUGUGUACACUCCUAUAGUAGUUUGAAAGUAAUUAGGCUCUACAAAAUCCCUUCCUUUUGAGUAUGUAAUUUAUGGAUGCAGUUUGAAGGAAGUCCUAUUUUCUCACGAUUUCCUUGCGUGUGGAACAUCUAUAAGGAUGGUUCCUGGAAAGCAUGAAGAGCCAGCGAUGGUGAUGGAUACCAACUGGUUGUUUGUAUUUAGUCACACAAUGUUAUCCUCUGCUACUUUAUACUUCGAUUAUCAAUCGGUGAGCUGUUUCCGCGUUGGUUACUGGUUAGUUUAUUAGCAAGUCCAGAUCAGCUAAACUUUAAAAAAGGGCAAGUGGGUGGAUCAGAUCUGCUAUAGCCUUGUUGACCUGCUGUUUGGGGAUGUCUGUCUCUCAUUCUCUUGCAACACAACAUUGUUAGCUCCUACUAUCUGCGUCUCCUGCAACUUUGCCUAGUCUCUGCGCCGGCCCCUACAACUCUGCUUCUGUUCCAACAGGUGUUCAUCCAUUGUUAUAUUCACUGGUUAUUUCUACCUCUGAUCCAGAAGCACUUUCAGUUGCUCAUCUAUCGAUAUUCAGAUUUUUAAUCCAUCACCGAGUCAAGAAACAAUUCCAGUUCUAUCUUCAGUUUAUUCAGACCAAAAAAUAAAACCCCACAACUCAAUGGAAGUGGCAUUAGCUAGCGCUGCCUUAAGUGUUAGCUUAAAAGUGGCCGCAUCUCCAGCCUUGAAGAAGCUCCUUGCUAAUGCUUCAACGUACCUUGGAGUGGAUGUGAUCGCCGUCGGCACACUACCUCUGCAUCUACCCACGGGAUUAGUUUUAAACCUCAAUAAUUGUUAUUUAGUGCCAGC